AGAGUCUAUACAGAUGUUAAAACUGCAAUUGGAUAAAUACUUGCAAAAGCGUAAUAUUCAGGGAUAUAAUUUUUACUAUUUCGGGUAACAGUUUCUUGAUCCAAGGUGAGAUCUGACUGUCAUUCUGGGGUCAAGAAGGAUUUUUUUCCUAGUUUGUUGCAAAAGUGGAUAUGCUUCAGACUUGUUUUUUCCCUUCUUUUGGAUCAACAGCAAUAACAGAUGUGAGAAAGGCUGAAUUUGCUUUACACAUGUCUCUUUUGAUCUAUGUAACUAUCCUUUAACUUGUUAACGUUGUUAGGGUGUACUAUGCUGCCCUGCAUUUAAA